GAGCGGCGAACGGGUGAGUAAUACGUGAGCAACCUGCCUCGAAGUUCGGGAUAGCCCGCCGAAAGGCGGAUUAAUACCGGAUGUGGUCCCCCGGUGCAUACCGGGGUGUCUAAAGAUGGGGAUCUUCGGACCUGUCGCUUCGAGAUGGGCUCGCGUCCUAUCAGCUUGUUGGCGGGGUAAUGGCCCACCAAGGCGAUGACGGGUAGCUGGUCUGAGAGGAUGGUCAGCCACACUGGGACUGAGACACUGCCCAGACUCCUACGGGAGGCUGCAGUCGAGAAUCAUUGUCAAUGCGCGAAAGCGUGAACAUGCGACGCCGCGUGCAGGAUGACGGCCUUCGGGUUGUAAACUGCUGUCUGAGGAACAAAGCUUGCGCGUGAACAGCGCGGGAGUUGAUUGUCCUCAGAGAACCACGGCUAACUCUGUGCCAGCAGCCGCGGUAAUACAGAGGUGGGACGUGUCGGAAUCCUGGGCGUAAGGGUGCGUAGCGGUCCGGUAUGUCGAUGUGAAAUAUUGCGGUCAACCGCAAAGGUCUUCGAAACUGCGAACUGGAGUACUGGAAGGAGAGCGGAAUUCUUGGUGUAGCGGUGAAUGCGUAGAUCUCAGAAGAACGCCGGUGGCGAAGGCGGUCUCUGGACGAUACUGACGCUGAGGCCGAAAGCUGGGGGAGCAAACAGGAUUAGAUACCCUGGUAGUCCCAGCCGUAACGUUGUGCACUUGGUGUAGGAGGAAUUAUCCCCUUCUGUGCCGGAGUUACGCGUUAAGUGCACCGCCUGGGGAGUACGGCCGCAAGGCUAAAAAACUCAAAGGAAUUUGACGGGGGCCCGCACAAGCGGUGGAGCAUGUUUGGCUUAAAUUUCCGAAUGCAACGCGAAGAACCUUACCUGGGCUUGACAUGGAGAGGCUUCGGGCCUAAACCGGUGAAAGUCGGGUUGAACUCACACAGGUGCUGCAUGGCUGUCGUCAGCUCGUGCCGUGAGUGUUGGGUUAAGUCCCGCAACGAGCGNCAACCCCUGUCAGUUAGUUGCCAACUUCCCGCAGAAAUGCGGGAAGCACUCAGCGAGACUGCCUGGACAAGCAGGAAGGAAGGUGGGGAUGACGUCAAGUCAGUAUGGUCCUUAUGCCCAGGGCUGCACACGUGCUACAAUGNGGCGGUACAAAAGGAAGCGAAGCCGCGAGGUGGAGCAAAUCCUCAAAGCCGUCCUCAGUUCGGAUCCAGUCUGCAACCCCCGACUGCGUGAAGCUGGAAUCGCUAGUAAAGGCGUAUCAGCUACGACGCCUUGAAUACGUUCCCGGGCAUUGUACACACCGCCCGUCACAUCAUGAAAGCCGAUUGCACCCGAAGUCGCCGGGCUAACCUUUACUGGAGGCAGGCGCCGAAGGUGUGAU
rnacentral:rRNA from 1 species